rnacentral:rRNA from 1 species
UACGUAGGGGGCAAGCGUUGUCCGGAUUUAUUGGGCGUAAAGAGCGUGUAGGCGGCCAUACAGGUCAGCUGUGAAAACUCGAGGCUCAACCUCGAGACGUCGGUUGAAACCGUAUGGCUAGAGUCCGGAAGAGGAGAGUGGAAAUUCCCGGUGUAGCGGUGAAAUGCGCAGAUAUCGGGAAGAACACCCGUGGCGAAGGCGGCUCUCUGGGACGGUACUGACGCUGAGACGCGAAAGCGUGGGGAGCGAACAGG